rnacentral:tRNA from 1 species
GGUGGCUCAGUGAUAGAGUGCUUGUCUUGCAUGCAUGAGGUCCUGGGUUCAAUUCCUCAGCACCA